ensembl:ncRNA lncRNA:CR45261 long non-coding RNA:CR45261
GCGGCAAAAAGCAAUUUUUAUUUACCAGGGGGCUCCGCUGAAUCCACCGGCUCCAUUCCAUUCCGUUGACUGAUUGGCGAGACGGCGCCAGAGCGCAAAUACUGGGUCCGGGAACCAGAGACCGGCGACCGGAGACAAACGAGGCGUCCAUCUCAAGAUGCGCACCCCAAUCACCAAUCCCCACUCCCCGAUCCAAAGUCUCCGAUGGCGAAUGCCAUGCCCUCUAUCGAGCGACUCCAUCGGCUUGGUAUGCAAAUCAGGGACGACGUCGCCGGGCAGGAAGUUGAUUAAAUGACAAAAUAAAUAGAAAGUGAAGGAU